rnacentral:lncRNA from 1 species
CCCUCCAGACUGGCGGCUGGAGUACCUCUCUUGGAAACUUUAGUUUUUUGCCGUCCUCGCCUUUUGGGGCUGGCCGACUGUGGAGCUUAAAGAAGGCACGUGGUCUCUCAGUGUCCAGUCCCAGAGGCUCCAGUGUUGACAAAUGUUGUUUAUUGGUCUGUUACACAGAAGAGUAUAGUUUCUGAGGCAAAAAUCAUACACACUCUGCUCCUCACAAAACCACGGAGUCACUAAGGCAGGCACACAAUGGCCACACGUGCUUGGUGGAGGCCAAGGACUCACGGACAACAAGGAUGGACAAUGGGGUGGUCUGGCCCCCAGACAGGCUGUGCAGUGCCCGGGGGCAGGGCUGGGCUGGGCCUGGGGGCAGGAGCUAUGCCCUUCCUGGCACCCCCGCAUACACAGCUCCUCCAAGGGGGUUUCUGGGUUCCUAGGCCUCUUGGCAUCCUGAGAAGCAUGUGGAAGGCAGAGCUAGCCUUGCUUCUCACCAGGGACAGAUGGGGACACCCAUGCAUCCCCUGCCUCCCGCAGUCUCAGGGACAUGGCAGAUGUCUGCGACAGAUAAUGGGCUGCCCUCGAACUGAGGCCUGUCUCUGAGGGGAGGCUGUGACCGGAUUCUUCCCCGACAGAGUCACCCUGGGAUUCCUCAGAGCAAGUGCUCCGGUCGCAUUCCAGAUCAUCCACUGGCAAAAGCAUCACUUCUUACACGUGGUUUUCAGGGAAGUACCUAAUGCAGAACGCAAGGGUGGGGUGGCAGGAGCGAGGCUGUACAGAUACACAGAGGUACACUGUACAAGGCCGGGGAGGCCUGGGGGUCACCUCAGGUGGCCAAAGGCAGUGGCAGUGCUGCUGAAGUGGGCUGCUCCCACCCAGGGCCCACAUCUUCCGACUGCCCCAGAAUCUCGGGGGAGCGGCCUGAAGGCGGCCCGGGUCUCCCGUGCCCGGGUCUCCCGCACCCGUGACGUGUGCCUAAACCAGAAGCAGUUUUGGUUGCUCCAGCUGGGGCUGGUGCACGCACAAUAUACUGGGACUGCAAAGGGACCCUCAGAAGGGACACAGCACAGAGCCUCUCGCCCUCUGCCACCCCAGCUGAGUAGGGCCCAGGCCGCUAUAGCCCCUGUUAAUCCUGUGGGGCCCCAGGUUCACUCGUGGGCAGCAGUCCAGGCUGCGGCUGCAGGUGGCAGUGGGGCUACUCCCAGAUGUGUGAGAGGGGAGCAGAGUAGGUGUGUCCCCCAAGGCAGCUGCUCCCUGAGGCUGACCCCUCCCAUCCCGGCCCUGAUCCGAGGGCAUCCUGGCCCCUGACUUGCCCUGCAGGGUCAGCACUGCCGGGAGUCGGAUCCAGGCUCACAACCGCUUUGUUAGGAACAGAGGUGGGGUCGGUUGGUGGCUGGGGAGGUCUGGGCGGUGACUCCCCUGCACCUCUCCCUGCCGGAGCCCAGGCUCUGCACGGCUGCUGCCUCCUGGCCCC